UACGAACUGUGCGAACGUUAUUCGGAAUCACUGGGCUUACAGGGUGCGUAGGCGGCUCAACACGUCAGGUGUGAAAGCCCCCGGCUCAACCGGGGAACUGCGCUUGAAACUGUUAGGCUCGAGUCAGCUAGAGGUACACGGAACUUCCAGUGGAGCGGUGAAAUGUGUUGAUAUUGGAAGGAACACCGGAGGCGAAAGCGGUGUACUGGGGCUGGUCUGACGCUGAGGCACGAAAGCCAGGGGAGCGAACGGG
rnacentral:rRNA from 1 species